AUUGAACGCUAGCGGGAUGCUUUACACAUGCAAGUCGAACGGCAGCGCGGACUUCGGUCUGGCGGCGAGUGGCGAACGGGUGAGUAAUGUAUCGGAACGUGCCCAGUAGCGGGGGAUAACUACGCGAAAGCGUAGCUAAUACCGCAUACGCCCUACGGGGGAAAGCAGGGGAUCGUAAGACCUUGCACUAUUGGAGCGGCCGAUAUCGGAUUAGCUAGUUGGCGAGGUAACGGCUCACCAAGGCGACGAUCCGUAGCUGGUUUGAGAGGACGACCAGCCACACUGGGACUGAGACACGGCCCAGACUCCUACGGGAGGCAGCAGUGGGGAAUUUUGGACAAUGGGGGCAACCCUGAUCCAGCCAUCCCGCGUGUGCGAUGAAGGCCUUCGGGUUGUAAAGCACUUUUGGCAGGAAAGAAACGUCGCGGGCUAAUACCCCGUGGAACUGACGGUACCUGCAGAAUAAGCACCGGCUAACUACGUG
rnacentral:rRNA from 1 species